CCCAACCCCUGGGUUCGCCCCGACACUGCCCCAGUCACCUUUCGUCCUGGGGACCCAAAUCCCCUGCCCCGGGCCGUCCUAAUUCCGGGUCCCAGGACUCUGCCCCCGAUGCCAGCACUGUCCUCCCCUCCCUGGCAGUGAAGGCAGGACCCCUGGCACGCUCCACGUGAGCUCUCGCUCGCCCUAUUUGUCCUGCCCUCUCCAUUUUUAUUUUUCCUAUUUGGGGGUAAGAAGGGAUCAUCAUCCACCAAAAAGCCACUGAGCAUCCGUUCUCCGCCAAGGAUUCUUCGCGGCACCCCCGCAGAGGGGAAGCCCUCCCAGGUCUGGAGAUGGAUGGGCGGGCACCAGGCUGGGGCCCCCGGCCCCACCAAGGUGCAGUGCGCUCCGGAGCCCCUCGCACCCCCACCUCCGCCUGCCGCCUUCGGAGCACGGAGCGGUCGCGCGUCCAGGGGUGCCCGGUGCAGUCCCUGGGGCAUCGGAGUUGCCUGGCUGGGCGCUCAUGGACACGGUUGUCGCUUUACAGAACCUGAGCCAGGCGGGACAGAGCUGGGACUUCGAGACGGAGAAACUAUGUUUAUGUUUAAUGUAUUUACAUAUGUAGGUGCUCUGCGUUUCCAGCGCACACCGGUGGCACAAAGGCCGCGCCGCCGCGCCGCCCGCGCCAGCCCUGCGCGUGGUCCCCGCCCGCCGGAUGUUGACGGCGUCGCCUAGCAACGGGAGAUGGCUGAGCCGGGUGGCCAGGACGGCGGGUCUCAGCUGGAAGGCGAAUCGACUUCUGAAGGAGAAGAGACCCAGAGUACUGACGGCGACACGGUGUCCCCCACAGGGAAGACCAGUGACCCAAACAUUGACGAGGCUGUUGGUGUUACAGAGUUUUCUGAAGAGGGAUUUGCGGCCUCUGGGGAAGUCAUAACCGAAGGAGAAAUUGAAAUUGAGGGGGAAGUCGAAAAUGACGGGGAAGUGGAAACUGAGGAAGAAGGGGAAAUUGAGGGGGAAGUGGAAACUGAUGGAGAUGUGGAAACAGAAGAGGACGUAGUCGAAUUUGAAGGGGAGUUGGAGUCAGAAAUGGAAGCCACAUCCCCUGAAGGGAAAGUCAGUUCCAUAGAUCUGGCUUAUUCAGAAGCCGGUGCUGCGGAGGUGCCCGGAGAGGAAGUGGGCCCCACGGACCCGCAUGAGCAUGUAAGGAGGGAAGGUGUUCCUGAAGACAGAGAAGCCCCCCGUCCAUCAGAAUCCAGAGAUUUGGGGGACAUCUCCACUCAGCCAUCCUGGCAAGUAGUCGACUCUUCGGGGCAAAUAGGCCAGGAUGUUUCUGGACCCAGGGUUAGCGGACCGAAAAAGUCCCACGAAGGGCUCCAGCAGGAAGUCUUUCCUCUGGGGGCGCGACACCACCUCCGACUGAGUCGGGAGAGCAGCAGCACCUCCUUGGACUUCGACGAGCUGCUCGUGAGCACAGGGGAGCCCCUCAUACAGGCACCAGGUACCGGGGCACAGGCCGGCUUGUCCCGCCCAUGGGAUGAGCCCCUUCACAUCCCUCGGUGUAAGGGGUACCACUCAUUCACCAUCUGUUACCUGGUGUCCCAUUCAGUUGGGAACUGAAAGAUAGAAAUGUUAUUAACAGGUAGGGAUAAUAUUUAUGGAGCAUUCUCUCUGUUGUAUCUCACUUAAUCCUUUUAGUAACCCAGUGAGGUAGGAACCAUUCUCCCAUCUUACAAAGAUCCUGAGAGCCAUUUAGUGACCUACCCAAGUACGGGGCAGAACCAGACCUUGACUGAGAGAUCCGAUAAUGUCCCAAACCACAGCCCCUGACCGCCACCCCUCAUGGCCUCCUGGCCCCAGAGAGGGGCUUGGGAACAACACCCGUAAGCACGCACGUUUACCGAGUCUCCAAGGUCGCUCAGCACACCCUGUCCCGUGUCCCAGUGUCGUGGAUGUGGGAAAG
rnacentral:lncRNA from 1 species